rnacentral:lncRNA from 1 species
CCAUUGCAGUUUUUCUAAGAAUGCUUUACCUAAUGGCCUUUGCCAAAGAUAAUCUUGGUGGGAUUGACAAUCUGGUGAUUUGCUCAUGGGACCCAGCACUGGUGGCUGACUGGUGAGAAGAACACAUUGAAUGGGGAUUCAAGGUAGCAUAAGAAAAGGCACUCCUGACCCCUCAAGAGUACUUCCUAGAACCUUGAAGUGGAGAUAAAAAACCUUGCUGACUAAUCAGAACAAAGGGGAACUGAGAUAAGGGUUUCCUGAAUUGGCUUGCUUGCUCCAUCCUAUUUAAUUCUAUGGUGAUGUCUAGAAAGCUUCAUCAACUCCUGCUGACUCAGUCACCUCUUCCAAAUUUUCGAGCUGAUGUCCAGAUGGCAGGAGUCUACCCCUACCCACUGUGAAGCUUCUAGAGAGCAAAAAUUAAAAGCACUUCCCAGGACACAUUUUUCAACUAUAAAGAAAGGGAGCUGGAGAAGGAAAUGGCAAACCACUUCAAUAUCUCUGCCAAGAAAACCCCAAAAAGGAUCGUGAAGAGUUGGAUACAAUUGAACAACAUAGUAUUGAUUCUAAGGUGGAAGGUAAGGGUUUAAAGAAAAAUUAUAUUCUACUUGAGAGACAUAGUACAUAUAGAGGAAUGGAGACUAGUGAGGGAAUUUUGGUUAAAAUCAGAGGUGUCAAACUUGAGAUACAGUGGCAAUUUGUGGCCCUAAAUUGCCUAACUGGAUUAAAAUGUAAUUGGGCAAUGCUUAACAAAAUAAUUACAAAACAUAAUUCUACAGAGAAGUGUUAAUUUGUGGUUUUCUAAGUCAAUAUGUGACCCACAAAGAUCCAUUUUUAUUUGAGUCUUGCACAGCUGGUACAUGGUUGCAGAAGUUAUGAAUGGAACUAUAGGAGAGUAAAUAGUCAAGUCCUUUCUGGUAACAAAUGUAGGAUUGAUGUAAUUAUUAUUUCCAGAACAAGAGAAGUCAGGCAAGACUGAGGGUGAGAGGGGGAGUAUCCAAUGGACAACUUGAUAGAAUGUGAAGCAUGUGUUAGAGUUGGUUAGAUAGCAAAUAUUUACAGCUAUAUUCCAACUAUACACUUUCCCACAAACAUACACAUUCUUAGCUGGGAGAAGAAAUAUACCUAAUCAUACAUGUGGAGGGGCACACAUGGAGGGAACUCAAAUGGAAGGUAAUUCAAAUUUUUGAUUCUGCAAGCCAGUUGUCUUUGGGUGAUAUCAUAUUGCUCCUGCUGAGACUGCUUCCUGCUGGUCUCAUGCAGUUUUCACCAGGCAUGAAGGUG